rnacentral:misc_RNA from 1 species
CACGAACCGGACGAACGUUAUUCGGAAUUACUGGGCUUAAAGGGUGCGUAGGCGGCUCUGCAGGUGGGGUGUGAAAUCCCUCGGCUCAACCGAGGAACUGCGCCCCAAACCGCAGAGCUUGAGGAAGGCAGAGGUGAGCGGAACUCAGGGUGGAGCGGUGAAAUGCGUUGAUAUCCUGGGGAACACCAGUGGCGAAGGCGGCUCACUGGGCCUUCUCUGACGCUGAGGCACGAAAGCCAGGGGAGCGAACGGG